GUGAAGUGAGGACGGCAGCAGAGCAGGCAACUGUCCGGCCGUACCCCAGGCAGAGCGUUUACGGAUGUCCUGGGGCUGAAACUGCCCAGGGACUUUGACACAGGCGGCAUGUCCUCUAGCAUCUGAUGACCUGAAUGUGAAUAACCAGCUUUGUCAUUUGAGAAACAAUUGCUGCCACUCGUGUGGAAUAUGGAGGUGACAGAUGAGAAAACUCUUGCUGGCUCCAUGGGAGUUAGAAUCCUGGGAGAGACGAAGCACACUCUGAAUUCUCUUCCACACCAACGGAUGCCUACUACCGAACAAGACAAGGUCAGAAGACAAGUCAAGAUCAUCUCAGAAGCACUCCAAUCAAUCACACUUCCCAUAACUCCCGAAGCAUCUUCCAGCAGCUUCGGCCAGGCAUUAACACUGCACUGCCCUUGAACCUGGUGGAGAGGGCGACUUGUCCUCCUGAGCAUAUGCAAAGCAGUGACUGCGGGCUUGGAGGGCCCAGAACACUGGCUGUGCUUGUGGUCCCGUCAGGAGAUGGUGGUUCCUGCAGCGCUGGCACACAUCUGACGCCACAACACACAAGCUGGGUGUGGGUGAAGAAUGGGGACCCCUUUCGACCUAAGCGAAAGUUCUUAAAACCUCUUGGCUAUAACCACAGCCUCUCCUUCAAUCCGAGGGAAAUAGAUUCCUAAAUCUUUCUCUGACAGCCCCCAGAAUGGGCACAUCGGAUCCCAGCGACACCUGGGUGGUGGGUAGCUGUUUGCUUUCACUAACUAACUGUUCACCUGUCUCCCUCCAAACUUCUGGUCUCCGCCACUAUGGUAAGCUCUUACAGGAUCGCACCGCCCUCGCCAGCGCUCAGGGGAUGAGCCACGUGGAGACGCCAAUCUGGGACGCAGCCACCGGCUUUACCUUUGCGCCUCGGUGUGGGAGGACUCUGCAGUCCGCGCGCAGCCCAGCUGUCAGGCACCAUGCCGGAACCCGCACCUAGGGCCCCGGGACACCUACCUGCCAGCCGCCUCUCGCGAACGUUCCUCCACAGCAGAUCCCAGGCUCUGGCGGUGGAGUCCCGCAGCUGCUCGCUCAGCGACCUCCGGAGCGGCGCGUGGACUGCUCCGCGUGGACUGCUCAUCUCAGACGCGUCCUCAUAGCGCGGGGCAGCCUGGCCGCUGCCUGGGGCACUAGGACGCUCGGCCACGCGGGACCCGGUGCGCCCGCCAGGCGCCCUGCGAGGCGGCCUCUGCGCUCCACCAGCCCCUCUCCCUUCUCCCGCUGCGUCCUCCCUCUCUCCUUCCCUCCCUCCCCGGCUCCUCCCUGCACUCUAGCCCAGCCUGACAGCCCGCCCCAGGUCUUUCCAUCUCACCCCAAAGUUAGGGGCUGUGUCAUAGCCCUCCUAUUUCCUGGUUCUCUCCAUUGCUCCCCAUCCCCACUCUGACACCAGAGUUUUGAUAUUUCAGCAGCUAGAGCCCAAGACUCUCAGAGUUCCGGAUUUAAAGCACUUGCACUCAGCCAGGCUGACCUUCUGGGUUCCUACACGGUGUUUUUGAGUUAUGUUGUACCUUCCUGGUUCCAUCAAAUGAAAUAAUUUUCAAAGUAUAAUCUACAGCUGACAGUGAAGUGGACCUGAGGGAGUCAACAUAUCUGUAUGCAGAAUUCUAAGAGGAAAAUGGGAAAUGACCUUCAGUAUCCUUAUCAAAAGUAUGCAGUAUACAUAAUAGAAAUUAAAACUGAUUCCUGAACGGAAGUGAAAGUGAAUGGAUUAUGUUGCUCUUAAACAAAUGCACUAUGGUCUUGAUUUAAACAACCGGAUCAUGGUCUUUAAGAAAACGACCACUUCUUUACUUCAUGAGGUGAUGAAUGGCCAAGUUCUAUGGGCUUCAAACUUUUCAUUCAAGAAGGCAAACACAAGUCAGGCCAUGGCUCACAUCUGUAAUCCCAA